GCUAUUUCAUCUUCAGACUCCUGAGGUCCGUCGUCGAAAGAUGGCGGAGGGAUGAAGUCUUCCGGUUUUUCCGGAGGGUCGAAGGUCGUGAUUUCAUCUGGGUCUACAUUGUCGAAGUAUGUGGUGUCGAUAUCGGUAGACUGCGCUCUGAUGGAGGGGAAAUUUAGGGGUUUUGGGAGGGAGAGAGAGUUGGGUAGUUGGUGAGUGGGGAGGAGAGAGAAGCGGCGGAGAGAGAGGGAGGAGAAGGUGGAGGAGAGGGAGGAAGUAAAAGAGGCAGCCAUGGUUAUGGUCGAAGAGAAGGUCGAAGAGGAUA
rnacentral:lncRNA from 1 species